rnacentral:misc_RNA from 1 species
UCCGGUUUGGCACCGGCAGUCUUCCUAGAGUCCCCGCCAUUACGCGCAGGCAACUAAGAACAGGGGUUGCGCUCGUUGCGGGACUUAACCCAACAUCUCACGACACGGGCUGACGACAGCCAUGCAGCACCUGUGCAGGCUCCCGAAGGAGCACCGGCUUUCACCGGUUUCACCCUGCAUGUCAAGCCCUGGUAAGGUUCUUCGCGUUGCGUCGAAUUAAUCCACAUGCUCCACCGCUUGUGCGGACCCCCGCCAAUUCCUUUGAGUUUCAAUCUUGCGAUCGUACUUCCCAGGUGGGAUACUUAAUGCUUUCGCUCAGACACCAACAGUGUAUCGCUGAUGUCGAGUAUCCAUCGUUUAGGGCGUGGACUAC